rnacentral:piRNA from 1 species
UCCUGAUAUCAAAGCACUUUUGUAUCUGAGC